UAACCGUGUAUUUUGCCGCCUUAUUGCCAGAAACUGAAAACGAUACAUGAAAUUAGGGUUAUUCUUUUCUUCUCUCUCCCCGAAAAAUGGCGUGUUUUCAUUUCAGCGGAGUUUUUUUUCCCGACAUUUCAGAGAUCCUUCAUUCAAUUGAGGUUUGCAUUUCUUCCCUAUCUCCCCUCUUUCUCUCUCGUGUUUGUUUUCGUUGAAUAUUUUGAUCGAAAAUUUAAAAGGGUAUUUGAUAAUACCUAAAUUUCUACCCCAGUGAGCGGAGAGUCUUAGGUUUUAGAGGACUGAGUGGAGUCCAGAUGAUACAAUGCUUCAGAGUAAUGGAUCAGACCAUCAAUAUUGUAUGGAUCAUUGGAGAAUCAAAUUUGGUAACAUUCAGAUUGAAUGUGUACAAAUUCCUGUCUUUUUCUCUUCAUCAUGGCAUAAGGCAUAGACGAAACAAAGUUACUCCAUCACAGAUUCACAUGGAUAGGAGUGAAUAGAUAGAUAAAUCAUAAAUGGGUAGGAGAUCCUUCUGUCUCAAUCCUCACUUGCAUGUCUCCUUGGACAUUGGUGGAAGGAGAUGCACAGACUCACUGUAAGGUUUCUUCAUUGGAAGCAGCUUGGAUUUGGAAUGCUUCAAAAUCCCAUUUCAUGCCAAAUCUAUCUUCAAACCUUCCUUCUUAACAACUCCUUGUGAUUUUAUCUACACAACAAGCUUGAUGAUCCUUGCAGAAGAAUCCCACUUUUCCUCCUAGUGUGGGUAAAAGAAAAAGGGAAUGGGAGGCGAAAAUUAUCCCAAUUAAUAGAUAGUGUUUUUUCUGUUUAGUGUUUACAGAAUCAAAAUCCCCAUUUGGGUUUUGAUGGAACAGGAUUUUGGAGGAGAUAGAAUAGCUAAUGGUGUCUAAUUUUAUUCCCUCUACACAGUUCUACAGUCUACAAUAUUCUGGGGCAUAUGUGCAUUUAUGUCAUAGACAAUUGGGGCAAAUGGAUAAUUUUUUCAAAAUCUUAAGAGUCUAUUAAACUACUUGUUUUCUAUCUGGUCCGUUGGUCAAUGUUUCGACAGUCAUGAUUUAAAGUAGUUAUUUUUAGGUCAUUUUCACAUACAGCAGAUAAUGCUUGCGGUUAAUCAAUCUACUGUAUGAACUAAUUAACUAGAAACAUCAAAGAUGUACAGUCGACGGACGACAAGAAGGUACCCACGUCGGAGGAGAAGGGCUGAAGUUCGUCGUCACUAUCCUCGAGUCCAACAGCUCCAUUAUUGGAGUGAAGCUGACACAUCUUGGCACCUUGUACUGGUUAAUGGAAGCGCCUCUAGAAAUGGCAUAGUCCAUUAAUUCCUCAAAAGUCCCCGGUCUGACCACACGGAUCUCAAGUGGUCCUAUUGAACCACUUUCCGCACGGCUCUGACGGUACACCACGCUCAGUUUCUCCUCUAUCUCCAGACAGCAAUUCUCCAGUACCUUGCUGUCCGGCAUCCAUUGUGGAUCGUUGGUUAGUAGUUCCCAGUAGAUCACGUAGUGGCCCGGUAUGGUCUUUGUGUCUGCGUAACUGGUGUACUCAACCACGGUCGUGUCAUGCUCUUGGAGCAAUUUCGACGCGCUCUCGACGGCCUUCUGUAGCUCCGACUCGUCUGUCUUGUCCGACUCGAUGCUCAGCAACACGUUCUUGCGUCUCACGAAAUGAAACUGUGGAGCGGCGUUGUGGAAUCCGGUGACACGGAGAAUAUCGCCGACACAGUAACGGUAGAGACCGGAGUAGGUUGUGAUGACCAGCUCGUACUCUUUUCCUACCUCCACGUCGGCAAGUUCUACGAGAGUCUGGACUUUCUCUGAUUCUUUAUUGUAAGGGAGGAACUCAAAGUAUGCCAUGUUGGGCAUGAUCGUGUACGAGACUUCUGAUGGGUUACACAUUGGACGGAGAUUGAUGCCGAAGUAGCACUCCGAUGAUGCGUACAUCGUGCAGGCCAUCGGAAGUCCACCGCUGUAGUAUUCUAGAGUUGGAAUGUACUGUUGCAUAGCUCCAGUAACGAUGACAUCUAAGUACUUAGUAUUCGGCCAAAUCCGACUCACGAUCCCUUUCCAAUUACCGGUUUUGCACUCGGCGGUAAUGAAGUCGGCGAGUUCCUGGUCAGGUUUGAGAACGUCAAGGACGGAGCCACGUACGGACGAAUCUGUGAUCUUAUCGCUGAGUGUUCCCUUGGCGAUAUCGUCGGAUAAUUCCUUCCAGUGGAGCUGGAGAAACCUGAUGGCUCGGAGGAGACCGGAGGCAAACACGGCGCCGACGCGGAGAACCUCCUUGUGCUGGUAAAGGCCACAUAGCAUCUGAACGUACAUACUCUGGAAGGAAUCCGUACAGAGAAUGGCCUCGUUGGGACUGGUGUAUACCAGGUAUGGGUCGUAAGGACGUGAUUUGAAGUAUUCACUUUUGUAGUAACUCGUGAGGACCGGCCUCGCCGGAAGACCGCCGGGGGUCUUUGAUUCCGAUUUGACAAAGUAAAAGUACAAGCCUUUGCCUUUGUUCAAUCCCGGAACAUAACUGCCGGAAAUUAUCAAAUUGUAUAUUAGGGAUGGCUAUCGAAAAAGGUGGUAGAGGUCUGCUAGCUAUAUAGACAGUCCCGGAACCAACUUACAUGUUCAUGACAGGCAUGAGAAGGCUGUAGAGAUUCUGUCUCCGGUCGUUGUCUUCUUUAAUUGUCGGCAUCAGUUUUCUUUGACCGGCAGAGGUCCCGGAACUGCACGAAACGUACGUACUGAUGAUCAAUGAUCACGUGCUAGAAUUAUGAAUAUUAACGGUGAAGUACCGACAUGACGUACCUUGUGAGGAACUCGGUGAUGGGGUAAGCGGAAAGUAUCGCCGACUGGUCGCCAUUGGCAAUGCGUUGGAUCUCCGGCUGAAGAUCCUCGUAGGUGACGACUGGGAUCUUAGCCUUGAAGACGUUCCGGUGAGUUGAACCGUUGAGAUCGAAUCUCUUGAGAUACUCCGUGUCUUUGUUCUGAGUGAGGAUUUGACGGAGAACGUCGGCCUGAACCUGAUCGGCUCUAGUGGUCAUCUCCUGGAUGAAGUUCAAUUUUUGGGCAUCGGCUUCGCACGCCGCUGGUCCAAGCGUCGUAGGUUCGAAAAUUUCUGAAUCCACCGCCAUGGAUCGAUAAUCGAAUAUCGGAUUUGAUCGGUGAUUGUGGUGAAUCUGGAUGUGGAUGAAAGUGCGAGGAGGGAGAGGGAGAUUUAUAGGAAAGAUGGAAGAAGACAUGCACGUAGAGACAUGUAGUCAUGUAAGGCGAUUAAAAUGGGACCCAUGGGUUAAAGAAUAGACAAACAUCGGGACCCACAUGUCGCCGUUUCCUCGUGAUCAUGUCGGGUACGCAUCUUUUUUAUUUAUUUAUCUUCCCUGACAAAUGAUAAUCCCUGUGUGCCAAACCAACAUCGAUCUUUGUUUUUUUUGUUUGUUAUUAUUCGAACGUGCGUGCAUAUCACAGUGUUUCCGGUGAGUCUCCGAUCGGCGUUGUCCGGUAGCGGUUAAUUGAGUGAAAGGAAUGGUGAGAAAAAGGCGAGUGUUGGGUUGGUAGAGGGCACACAGUGAGGUCCUGUCAUGUUAUUUAACAUAACUCCAAUUUUUCAAAGUUUGAACCUUUAUUAAUUUUGGAGGCAUGGGGACGGACUAUCAUGGGAACCCUGAUUCAUUCUAUCUAUUAUCUAGACCCAAAAGAAAAGGGAACCUUCUGGGUAAGUCAGAAAUGAAAAUGUAUUGAAAAUAUGAUAAUAUGAUAUCAAUAAUACUUACUGUUUAGGGUUUAGGAUUUAGGGUUUUCAAUAGUGACUGAUGGCCCCAAUCCAUCCAUAAGCUGAUAACCCUCAGGUUAAUUAAUAUAAUAGUACCGGCGUUUUGUCUGAUGGGUUUUUCACAUGUUCAUCCAUUUUUGCUUCUUUUUUCAUCUGAACAGGUUUAAAACAUGGUCAGUGAAUUAUAGCAUCGGAAGUAAAGUAGUCAUUUCUGAGUUCAUCCGAUCGAUGAGUCCUACCAUGAAGCAAAAACAUG
rnacentral:lncRNA from 1 species